rnacentral:rRNA from 1 species
CCUACGGGGGGCAGCAGUGGGGGAUAUUGCACAAUGGAGGAAACUCUGAUGCAGCGAAGCCGCGUGAGGGAAGAAGGGCUUAGGAGUGGAAACCUCUGUCUAUGGGGAAGAAAAUGACGGUACCCAAAGAGGAAGCUCCGGCUAACUACGUGCCAGCAGCCGCGGUAAUACGUGGGGAGCGAGCGUUGUCCGGAAUUACUGGGUGUAAAGGGAGCGUAGGCGGGGGAGAAAGUUGAAUGUUAAAUUUUCCGGCUUAACUGGUAGCUGCGUUCAAAACUUCUUGUCUUGAGUGAAGUAGAGGCAGGCGGAAUUCCUAGUGUAGCUGUGAAAUGCGUAGAUAUUACGCGGAACACCAGUGGCGAAGGCAGCCUACUGGGCUUUAACUGACGCUGAGGCUCGAAAGCGUGGGUAGCAAACAGGAUUAGAUACCCGAGUAGUC